CUGGCCACAUAGUUUUAUUUAUUCCUUUGUAGUCUGUAUAUCUUUUUUUUUUCCCUUGUAUUAUCAAACCUUCAUUACAAUUUUGAUUGGGAGUGGUGAGAGUGAACGAUGGUUGGGGGAAACAUUCAGUCAUUUACAGUUAGCAUUGUGUUAGUUGUAGAGUUUUGUAAAUACUAUUUAUCAGAUUAAUUAAGUUAUUUCUAUUACUAGUUUGCUGAGGGUUUUUUUAAACAUCAUGAAUGGAUGUUGAAUUUUGUCAAGUGCUUUUUCUGCAUAUAGAGAUGAUCAUAUGGUUUUUCUCCUUUAGUCUGUUAAGAUGGUGAAUUACACUGAUUGAUUUUCAAAUGUUGAGCCAGCCAUGCAUUCCCAGGAUGGAAUCUCACUCUGUCGCCCAGGCUGGAGUGCAGUGGUGCCAUCUCAGCUCACUGCAACCUCUGGCUCCUGGGUUCAAGCAAUUAUCAUGACUCAGCCUCCCAAGUAGCUGGGACUACAGGUGCACGUCACCAUUCCUGGGUAAUUUUUUGUACUUUUAGUAGAAACGGGGUUUCACCAUGUUGGCCAGGCUGGCCUGGAACUCCUGACCUCAGGUGAUCCGCCCGCCUCGGCCUCCCACAGUAUUGGGAUUACAGGCAUGAGCCACCACGCCCAGCCUGAAUUGCUUACCCUUAAACAUGUUUAUUUUUACUGCCAGGCCUUAAUGAGUCAGUAAUGGAUAUGUCAUUUUAGCUGAGUUGUAUUCUCAUUUGUGUAAUAUACUUAUCAUUUUAAUGUUAUCUUAUCAUUAAAACAACCUUAUAUUGGUGGUAAUUCUA